GAUGAACGCUGGCGGCGUGCCUAAUACAUGCAAGUCGAGCGAACAGACGAGGAGCUUGCUCCUCUGACGUUAGCGGCGGACGGGUGAGUAACACGUGGAUAACCUACCUAUAAGACUGGGAUAACUUCGGGAAACCGGAGCUAAUACCGGAUAAUAUAUUGAACCGCAUGGUUCAAUAGUGAGAGACGGUUUUGCUGUCACUUAUAGAUGGAUCCGCGCCGCAUUAGCUAGUUGGUAAGGUAACGGCUUACCAAGGCAACGAUGCGUAGCCGACCUGAGAGGGUGAUCGGCCACACUGGAACUGAGACACGGUCCAGACUCCUAAGGGAGGCAGCAGUAGGGAAUCUUCCGCAAUGGGCGAAAGCUUGACGGAGCAACGCCGCGUGAGUGAUGAAGGUCUUCGGAUCGUAAAACUCUGUUAUUAGGGAAGAACAAAUGUGUAAGUAACUAUGCACGUCUUGACGGUACCUAAUCAGAAAGCCACGGCUAACUACGUG
rnacentral:rRNA from 1 species